rnacentral:sRNA from 12 species
GACCUGUAUUCCGAACUGUCACCGGACGGUGGCGUGGCUGGGACAACCAGUCUAGGAACGUGGUCGGAA